AUGGAGCCGACCUUGAAAUACCACCCUUUAAUGUUUGAUGUUCUAACGUUGACCCGUAAUCCGGGUUGCGGACAGUGUCUGGUGGGUAGUUUGACUGGGGCGGUCUCCUCCUAAAGAGUAACGGAGGAGCACGAAGGUUGGCUAAUCCUGGUCGGACAUCAGGAGGUUAGUGCAAUGGCAUAAGCCAGCUUGACUGCGAGCGUGACGGCGCGAGCAGGUGCGAAAGCAGGUCAUAGUGAUCCGGUGGUUCUGAAUGGAAGGGCCAUCGCUCAACGGAUAAAAGGUACUCCGGGGAUAACAGGCUGAUACCGCCCAAGAGUUCAUAUCGACGGCGGUGUUUGGCACCUCGAUGUCGGCUCAUCACAUCCUGGGGCUGAAGUAGGUCCCAAGGGUAUGGCUGUUCGCCAUUUAAAGUGGUACGCGAGCUGGGUUUAGAACGUCGUGAGACAGUUCGGUCCCUAUCUGCCGUGGGCGCUGGAGAACUGAGGGGGGCUGCUCCUAGUACGAGAGGACCGGAGUGGACGCAUCACUGGUGUUCGGGUUG
rnacentral:rRNA from 1 species